rnacentral:snoRNA from 1 species
GAUCGUCAGGAGGUUAAUCCUUACCUGUCCCUCCUUUCGGAGGGCAGUAGAAAAUGAUGAUUGGAGCUUGCAUGAUCUGCUGAUUAGCAUUUCCAUGCAAUCAGGACCUGACAACAUCCUGGUUGCUCCUAUCUGAUU